GCAGAGGUGCUUCCGGCAAUUUAAUUGAAAUUAUUUCACAGAAGGAUGAUAUUAAUUUAGAAAUAAAUUAGUUUACGUUUCGUUCAAGUUGAGACAACAAAAUUUUACGUAUUAAUUUCUAUCUAUGACACAACAUUCUUAUGUUUGGAAAACGGUCGCCGUAUACUUGUCACAGGUUCUGCAACGCUGUGUACACCUGAUCGACAUUCGCGUCAAAAAUUUCAAUAGAACGUACCGACACUAUCGUUCUAUUCAUCCCACAACGAACCAUCGAUAGCCGGUCAAUGUCGAAUUUUUCUUUCCUCCAAAGCGAGAGAGCAAUCUGGUCAUCGAAUUUUCCACUUUUCACCGAACAAGCCAUUGAGCAUCUCGCGUUGUUGCAAAAAUAAUCAUUGAAUAAAUAAACCCAUGGUACAGAAAACGUUAAAUGUUGUAUUUGCGGUUCAUCCAGGAGAAGAAUAUUUUUAGAAUAUUUAUUUUUGUUGAGAAUUGUGGAUCUUAAUAACCGAAAUAAUGGUAUAGGAACACUAAAUUUACACUUGGAAUUAAUAUUAGAAUAAUUAUAUAUUUAUUUGAUGGACGAUUUUUAAGAUAUUCAUGGAUACACACUUGCACGCGUCUCAGCACUUUCCUCCAUAGCCGACUGUUAACCGACUGAACACAGUUUACAUUCAUCUGUUUUCGAAACGCCGCGACACACAUACUUCCACACACUGAUAUUCGCAUACAAGUAUCUCUACUAUGCAUCUAACCCAGUCCAGCACACAAAAUUAUACAUAUCUCAAUAAUUUUAAAAUACUUUAGAAUAUUUAGAAUAUUUUUAGAAUAUGUAGCGGCACAUGAGUCAGAGAACGAUGCGAAUCGAAAGCUUAUAUUGUUGUUUUGCCUCGAGACAUUGACACCGCCUUGACGCACGAAACGUAACGCUAAAUAAACACCGGACAAAACAAUGUUGCCGCUACGUGCAACCGUUGAACAAAGACGAAUCUGAAUUUUUCGACUAUCCCCCGACCAGUAUAAAUAAACGGACGCGAUUGUCACAUCAACCACAUCUCAAUCCACAUCAGAGGUCAGGCCGCGCUUCGGAACCGAUGGACUGAUGAUGGAAAUAAAGAUGUGGCGGCACUCGGCAACAAUGUAUAUCGCCGAAACGAAGUGCCUAAUGAGCCAUCAAUAUCCCAACGGUCCUUUCGCCGAAUGUUCGAGAGGAGGCGUGCGUGGCAACGGUGGCGGACGCCUAACAAACGCGUGGAUGGUGGGGAUAUUGAGGGGCGACAGAGAAAAAGAAUCGGAUUCCUCCGAAAGUCAAGUUGUAAGGGCUUCAGUCUUGGAAAGGCACGGCUGGAGUUCGGAAGUAGAUUGAUCAGUGUGUUAAGAAAUAAAUUCUCUUUUUUUUUUAUUAUUACUUUUCAUCUUCAAUUUCCUUUUCUUUAUUUUACGUGACACGAUCGCGAGUAUAUACCCAGUAUCUACGAAUUAUCGAUCAAUAUCUACGAGAUAUCAGCGAUCUAAUUAACGAGUCAUUAGCGAUUUAUAUUUAUAUUUUAUACGAGCGUAUCAACGAAUAUAGUUUGUAUACUAAUUAUUUUUUUUUAAAUAUAUUUGACGGGUUGCAACAGCAAGUUCUCGUUGUUCUAUAUUACAAUUAUCUACAAGUCCUGCGCAAGUACAUAUAGAAUAUUUUGGGCUUGCCCUGAAGAAGAAAAAAAUGUUCAAGUUUAUCCCGAAGAUGCGUGUUGGAAUGUUGACGGAACCUCGCGAUAGAUCGCAACUAAUAAAAAUAUGAUGGAAGCUCGAAGAACUAUGAGAAAUGUCGUCUAAUCAUCGUAAAAGUUUCAAAAUGUAAAAUUCAUGAAAUGUACGUCUAGCUGUUCGAACAGACAGAUGGAAGAAGAGAAAAAUAAAAGAAAGGAGAGAGGAAGAAUGCGAGACGCGGAGAGGAUCUGUUCGAUGCGCCGAGUGGGUCGAUGCACGGUGACGGAAAAGGAAAAAUAAAAUAUAAAAAGCCGCGUCAAAUGGGUCGGUGCACAAUGACAGCAUAAAGAGCAAGGCACAACGAAUACUAUCGCUGUGCAUUGACCCGUUUAACUACGCCUGUCGAAUUUCAUCCCUUAUUUUGUAUUUGCAGCCCUGUUUAUGGUCCUCUGCUUCAUGUUCCGUGCUUCAAGAAGAAGAAGAACGUCGAGAUGUUACUGUUGAUCGUCGACGUAAGAUACGACGUCAUCGAAGACAUCUCGUAUGGACAGUUUUCCAAAGAAAUAAAGAAGCGAAAUAUUGUGAAAAUGAAAAUUUCUUGCAUGUUAAAAAUUAUGCCAAUGAUAUCGUUUCAAAUAACUGUUUGAUAUUUAUUAAUCCUCUGUACGCUGAAUUUUAUUUCAAUUUCGUUAGCAGCAGCUGUCAAGUGCUUUUUAGUGUUUUAUUUGAGAUUUACUUUAACUAAAAUAUAAGAGAAUUUAAAUAAAUAAAGGAAGACAGAAAUUUAGUUAGAUUCAAUUAAACAGUUUUAUUCACACUAUUGUUGUAUUUUGUAAUUUUUAAGUGUGUGAUAUAUCUUGGAACAAUUUCCAGGAUGCAAUCACAAAAAAAGGUGGUAAAGAAUGUCGAGUGGGGCUCGACAAAGCAGCUCCUGAGAUAAAAACUGACGUCGAGUCACACUCGACAGAGAAGUGCAAAGAGUUAAUGUAAAGUGUUCCAAUUUAUCAAAGUAUUUGACAAUUUAAUUAAAAUGCCAAUGAAGUAACAAGUGAAUGAUCUUUAAGUUAGUUAAUCUUUAAAAUAUUGCAAUAUUGAGUACUCAUACUUUUGAGCAAUAGUUUAGUAGAAAUAAUUGUUGAAGAAUAGAAAAAGGCUGGUGACUAUUGUAAUCCUAUUGGGUUGUUCUUAUUGGGUGUACAAAUGUAUCAAGGUAUUUGACAAUUUAAUUAAAAUGUCAAUGAAGUAACAAUUGUACGAUCUUUAAUUUACUUAAUCUUUAAAAUAUUUCAAUAUUGAGUACUCAUACUUCUGAGCAAUAGUUUAGUAGGAACAAUU